UGGGGAAUAUUGCGCAAUGGGGGAAACCCUGACGCAGCAACGCCGCGUGAAGGAAGAAGGCCUUCGGGUUGUAAACUUCUUUGAUUAGGGACGAAAAAAAUGACGGUACCUAAAGAACAAGCCACGGCUAACUACGUGCCAGCAGCCGCGGUAAUACGUAGGUGGCAAGCGUUGUCCGGAAUUACUGGGUGUAAAGGGCGUGUAGGCGGGAGGUUAAGUCAGAUGUGAAAUUCCAAAGCUCAACUUUGGCACUGCAUCUGAAACUAAUCUUCUUGAGUACUGGAGAGGAAAGUGGAAUUCCUAGUGUAGCGGUGAAAUGCGUAGAUAUUAGGAGGAACACCAGUGGCGAAAGCGGCUUUCUAGACAGAAACUGACGCUGAGGCGCGAAAGCGUGGGGAGCAAACA
rnacentral:rRNA from 1 species